rnacentral:ncRNA from 1 species
CCCUGACAGCUACAUGGUGUAGCUGACACUAGCCACGACAGGAGAUACAUAUG